GCGUGCUUAACACAUGCAAGUCGAACGCUGAAGCUCCCAGCUUGCUGGGGGUGGAUGAGUGGCGAACGGGUGAGUAACACGUGAGUAACCUGCCCCGAACUCUGGGAUAAGCGCUGGAAACGGCGUCUAAUACUGGAUAUGUCCUAUCACCGCAUGGUGUGUAGGUGGAAAGAAUUUCGGUUCGGGAUGGACUCGCGGCCUAUCAGCUAGAUGGUGAGGUAAUGGCUCACCAUGGCGACGACGGGUAGCCGGCCUGAGAGGGUGACCGGCCACACUGGGACUGAGACACGGCCCAGACUCCUACGGGAGGCAGCAGUGGGGAAUAUUGCACAAUGGGCGCAAGCCUGAUGCAGCAACGCCGCGUGAGGGAUGACGGCCUUCGGGUUGUAAACCUCUUUUAGUAGGGAAGAAGCGAAAGUGACGGUACCUGCAGAAAAAGCACCGGCUAACUACGUGCCAGCAGCCGCGGUAAUACGUAGGGUGCAAGCGUUGUCCGGAAUUAUUGGGCGUAAAGAGCUCGUAGGCGGCUUGUCGCGUCUGCUGUGAAAACCAGAGGCUCAACCUCUGGCCUGCAGUGGGUACGGGCAAGCUAGAGUGCGGUAGGGGAGAUUGGAAUUCCUGGUGUAGCGGUGGAAUGCGCAGAUAUCAGGAGGAACACCGAUGGCGAAGGCAGAUCUCUGGGCCGUAACUGACGCUGAGGAGCGAAAGCAUGGGGAGCGAACAGGAUUAGAUACCCUGGUAGUCCAUGCCGUAAACGUUGGGAACUAGAUGUAGGGCCUGUUCCACGGGUUCUGUGUCGUAGCUAACGCAUUAAGUUCCCCGCCUGGGGAGUACGGCCGCAAGGCUAAAACUCAAAGGAAUUGA
rnacentral:rRNA from 1 species